AUCUAGCUGACGAGUCUCAAAUAGGAUGAAACACGCGUCCUGGAU
rfam:Schistosoma haematobium scaffold1904_3, whole genome shotgun sequence.